rnacentral:rRNA from 1 species
UACAGAGGGUGCAAGCGUUAAUCGGAAUUACUGGGCGUAAAGCGUGCGUAGACGGUUAUUUAAGUCAGGUGUGAAAGCCCCGGGCUCAACCUGGGAAUUGCAUUUGAGACUGAAUAGCUAGGGUGCGGAAGAGGGAAGCGGAAUUUCCGGUGUAGCGGUGAAAUGCGUAGAUAUCGGAAGGAGCACCAGUGGCGAAAGCGGCUUCCUGGUCCAGCACCGACGUUCAGGCACGAAAGCGUGGGGAGCAAACAGG